UUGAACGCUGGCGGCAUGCUUUACACAUGCAAGUCGAACGGCAGCGCGGGGCAACCUGGCGGCGAGUGGCGAACGGGUGAGUAAUAUAUCGGAACGUACCCAGAAGUGGGGGAUAACGUAGCGAAAGUUACGCUAAUACCUCAUACGAUCUACGGAUGAAAGUAGGGGACCGCAAGGCCUUAUGCUUUUGGAGCGGCCGAUAUCUGAUUAGCUAGUUGGUGAGGUAAAGGCUCACCAAGGCGACGAUCAGUAGCUGGUCUGAGAGGACGACCAGCCACACUGGAACUGAGACACGGUCCAGACUCCUACGGGAGGCAGCAGUGGGGAAUUUUGGACAAUGGGCGCAAGCCUGAUCCAGCAAUGCCGCGUGAGUGAAGAAGGCCUUCGGGUUGUAAAGCUCUUUUGUCAGGGAAGAAACGGUAGAGGCUAAUAUCCUUUGCUAAUGACGGUACCUGAAGAAUAAGCACCGGCUAACUACGUG
rnacentral:rRNA from 1 species